ensembl:lncRNA
GGGAACCAGCGUGACGAAUUCCGCCCAAGCUCUUGGUCAUAAAGUUGUCCUCAGCCUGUCUGUGUGGUCCCGGAGGGUCGGUGGCGGGCAGUUUCCAAAAUUGAGUCCCCCCUCCCCGGAUACCGGAAAGUCUCUUCUCUUUUUCGUAUCAAAAAAAGCCCGGUGAAGACUCUGCAGAACCCAGGAAGCGCAGAAUCGGGAGAAAGUCUUUGGCUGGGGCUGGUUCAAGACCCUGCUUCAAUGGGCUGCUGGAAGCCAGGACUGGGGUUCCUCUGAGGUUGGACUUCUUUCGCGCUCGAUAGGCCUUGAAAACUGGGUUCCUGCUCCUUAUUACAUAUCUGGGACAAUAAUGAACAGGUCAAAACAGAAAAGUCGAGUAAACUGGGAGCGAUGCUUUUCAACACGUCGCGCAGGGUGUAGUGUUGGGGGAUGUGAUUUGAGGGCAAGAAUUUUAUUGCAAUACUAGGUAGUCAGCCAGCCCGGUCCCCGGGGGCCGACCUGCAAAGUACUACGCGUUUCCGCCCCCCGACCCCCCCACAGCGGUUACACCUCUGGGAAGCAUUACCUUGCCUGAUGACUUCACACUGCUCGGGGAAACCCACUUACUAAUUCUCCCCUACAAACCUUCAGGGCUUCAGCCUUUGUUUGAACCCUGCCUUAGGUGGUUCAACUCUUGAGAAACUGGCUUAAGUUUCAGAGCACAAUUUCAUCCACUUAAUCAGACUCCUGCUUCUUGAUUUUUAGUUGUACGGUAGUUUUUAAAUGCUAACCUGUAAUUUAAAAUAUAUUGUCUAACUGAUGUACUCUUACAUAUAAUGUGGAUUAAACUGAUUUAGGGGGAGGGUGGACAUCAUGGAGUGUCAAGUGUCUGGCUGUGGGACCCCACAGGGGCACUUAACAUCCACUCUAAACUUCCAUGAAUAUUAUAUGUAAUGCAGGCUUGCUGAUUAUUGCUUAGUAGUGCUUAACUGUUCCUGUGCUAAUGGUUCAAGCAGUGAAAACAUUUAGUAAAACUGUGUUUCUUUAUUAAUCAAAAACACAUUUGUUGUUUGUUCCCUUGAACUUGUAAUUCAUGGCCCAUAAAGCAAAAGCAAAAUAUUUCCUCACUGCGGAUGAAUGUAAAAGCUAAUUACAUAUCCGUGCAUUUCUGUCAGUUUCUCCCCCAUCCCCCAAGAGAAUGGGAAAGAGGCUAGAGGUGAAAGUUUACAUUUAAAUUCAGGGGUGAAGCAGAAUACUGUAUCAAUCAGAUUUUCUUAGGCAGGGCAUCCAGAAUAAGAGAUUGAAUAAAUUCAAAUCCCACCUUUGAUGAGGGAUUGUUUGUGUGUUCCUGGAAGCAUAUUUUACCUCUCUAGACCUUUAUUUCCUAGUUGAUAAAUGGAGAAAAUACCUGCUUUACAAAGUUGUUAUGAUGAUAGAACGUGUGAAACUAUGUUAGGAGAUUAGUAGAGUGCCUAAGCUCUACUCUUAGGUAGAGCUUCCUAAUGUAACUUAGCGUUUCCUAAUUUAACCAUUGUCGCUAUUCAAAAACAUUAGUACCCUUCUCCUGGUUUUCUAUUUGUUAUAUUAUUCUUGAUAGGCAUUAACUGGAGUUUCAUCCUGGGCUCAUUUGUUUGACCUACUUCAGCUUCCUACUGUCCCCUCACUGUCUCUCAUAGAUUGAAUUAUUCUAUGUGCCCAUGAAUACACCCCAAACCUUUACGUUUAACCAAAAUUCCUUUCUGGAUUCCAGGCCUGAAUUACGGCUACUAGCCAUCUAGUAUUGAUUAAUAAGCAUCAUAUUUGGAGACGGGAGAUUCAGUUUCACCAACAAGCUAUAGCUUGUUUCAACCAAUUGAAUAACAUACGAUUGUCAAUUUCAAUUUUACCUUUCUAUUUUAAACAUAAGCUGUUUGGAUCAGAAGAUGACAGAUGUUUCAGGUUUUGACAUCCUAAGACAUACUUCUCCAACCUACGCUUGUUAUGGUUUCAACUAUCCAAGACAACAUAGCGAAGAACUUCAGAGGUAGGAGCUUGACCUGAGUCAACGUGAGUCUGCAGCAUGCUCUUGCUAACCUCCUUCCCACAACACAGAACAAGUGUUCACCUGUCUGAGAGACCAAGUUUCCAGAAGAAGGAUUCAGUACCUUCAUACUUCUCUGUGUAAAUGGUUCUCAAACUUUUUGGUGUGAAGUCCCUCUAUACGCUCUUAAAAAUUGUUGAGGACUUCAAAAAACGUGUUUAUA